rnacentral:lncRNA from 13 species
UAAAAUUUUUGAUCUAACGUUUGGCGCCAGCAUUUACCGCUGGCGCCAUCUACUGGAAAACGGCGGUUUUCAAAUUGUACUCCUAAUAUACCUGAACCUGAACCUGAACAAAACUAUAGACAAAUACAAAAACGAACCUCAGUUCUAAAUACACGUAACAUAAGAACAGGAACUUUAAUGCAUCAGCUAUCCAGUGAUAUAUUAGAAA